GAUGAACGCUGGCGGCGUGCCUAAUACAUGCAAGUCGAGCGAACAGACGAGGAGCUUGCUCCUCUGACGUUAGCGGCGGACGGGUGAGUAACACGUGGAUAACCUACCUAUAAGACUGGGAUAACUUCGGGAAACCGGAGCUAAUACCGGAUAAUAUAUUGAACCGCAUGGUUCAAUAGUGAAAGACGGUUUUGCUGUCACUUAUAGAUGGAUCCGCGCCGCAUUAGCUAGUUGGUAAGGUAACGGCUUACCAAGGCAACGAUGCGUAGCCGACCUGAGAGGGUGAUCGGCCACACUGGAACUGAGACACGGUCCAGACCCCUACGGGAGGCAGCAGUAGGGAAUCUUCCGCAAUGGGCGAAAGCCUGACGGAGCAACGCCGCGUGAGUGACGAAGGUCUUCGGAUCGUAAAACUCUGUUAUUAGGGAAGAACAAAUGUGUAAGUAACUAUGCACGUCUUGACGGUACCUAAUCAGAAAGCCACGGCUAACUACGUG
rnacentral:rRNA from 1 species